rnacentral:rRNA from 1 species
AGUGAACGCUGGCGGUAGGCCUAACACAUGCAAGUCGAACGGCAGCACAGUAAGAGCUUGCUCUUACGGGUGGCGAGUGGCGGACGGGUGAGGAAUACAUCGGAAUCUACUUUUUCGUGGGGGAUAACGUAGGGAAACUUACGCUAAUACCGCAUACGACCUACGGGUGAAAGCAGGGGAUCUUCGGACCUUGCGCGAUUGAAUGAGCCGAUGUCGGAUUAGCUAGUUGGCGGGGGAAAGGCCCACCAAGGCGACGAUCCGUAGCUGGUCUGAGAGGAUGAUCAGCCACACUGGAACUGAGACACGGUCCAGACUCCUACGGGAGGCAGCAGUGGGGAAUAUUGGACAAUGGGCGCAAGCCUGAUCCAGCCAUACCGCGUGGGUGAAGAAGGCCUUCGGGUUGUAAAGCCCUUUUGUUGGGAAAGAAAAGCAGCAGGUUAAUACCCCGCUGUUCUGACGGUACCCAAAGAAUAAGCACCGGGUAACUUCGUG